AUUCAUUAAAAUCUUUAAAACAAUACUACUUUGUGUUGUUUCCAAAGUGGCAAUAUAUUAAUAUUCGACGCGGAUUUUGGAUUUUAAUUGAAUCAUAAAUAAUAAAUAAGACCGAGAGAUAAACCAGGUGCUCAGAUAAAUAAUUCAAUAAGAGACAAAGCGUUUUUCCUGUUUGAAGUUUUUAUUAAGACAUAACUUAAAUCAUUUUGAAAUCAUUUUGACUUCCACCAAUUACGCGGUGUGGUGUUGCUUAAAUAAUUUGUCUGUCACCCAAAUAAUAUGACAUCGAGCGUCGCUUGUGCUCUUUCAGCUAGAUUUGUUUUUUUUGUUUAUGCCGCUUUAUUGACAUAAAGAAACGAAUCGAAAAUGGCUUAUAAGUACCUGCACUGACAGAUGGUAAGGUCAACAAAUAAAAAGGAAGAUAGAAAAAAAAGUUGUUUAUUGUAAAAAAAUAUAAAAAACAAGUGAGAAUGUACUUUACUUUCCUUAAUGCCUGGCAGAGGGGGAGGUGUUUUUUUUUAUAGAUUAAGUAUGAUAUUUAGUAGAUUUACUAUUUUGUAGUUCUGUUAUGGUUCUGUUUGUAGAUUUCAUAUCAAUUCGAACUGUGGUGCAAAAAAUAAAAAUUCCUACCAUUCGACACUAACGUAACUAUAUUCGUCGGAAUGGUCAAAACGCAUUUUUUAUGUUCGCAAAGUUUCAUAUCAAUAAUUGGGUUCACGAUUUUAGAUGAAGAUACAUACAACGCAUACAUUCUUUUUACAGAUAACAAAAACAGAAAAUCGAAUAAAUCUGAUAUGAUAUCACGCGCCAUAAACUAUGACCUAAACUAAGUACAUCUAGAACUUGGGAGGAUAACUCUUGCUUGACAACAAAAUUGGCGCGCAAACCUAAUAAAAUCCGGUCGCGUUAACUGUGACGUCAUUCAGAAUAAAAUGGACGACAAUAUUAUAUCGUCGGUCGGAUUCAUUACCGGAAUAUUUCCAAAAUUACGUGUUUUGAGAUGAGUAUGUAGAAUGACAACAACAAGAAGUCCGUAUGUGUCACUGAAGUAGGAAACCUAUGGAAAUGAAACGUCAACAAAAAAUUCGUGCCACUGUGACGUCAUCUGGCCACAAAACAUGGCAGUUUUAGUGCUGCCCAGAAGAUUAUAAUGUUAGUAGGUUUUAUCGAUAAACGUUCUUGGCUUAUUUUAUUUUAAAUAUUGUUGAGUAUGAAUGUAUUUGUAGAAUUUAUACUUUAAUAGGAAGUAAGUAUAUUGUUAUGUGCAAAGAUGAUGUGAUUUAGAUAUUAUGUGAAAUCUAAGACGAGUUCGUGCUUCAAAUUUUCCAAGUAAACGAUAUGACGAUUUUUAAAAUUUGCUACACUGAUUAUAAAAAGUUGUCAUUUGCCGCAAAACAUAAAGAUAUGGCAUAGUACAGUGCCAUCAGCUCAUUUCUAGCAUGCUGAAUGUUAUCGUAUUUUGAGUACGUGUUUUUCUUAGACUAUUACAAUCUAUUUUAAUUAUUUUGCUGACUCUAAAGUCCGUAACACACUACCGCAGCGCACCUCAAGGAAGGUGCACCGCAUUACUGCACCGCACGCAAAUUUUAAAGUUAUCAAGGGACCGCCUGAUAAAAAAAAACACCUACAGAACAUUUAUUCAUUAAUGAAAUUACAAACGUCAUUCCUUGUGACUUCCUCUCUAAAAUCACUUAAUUAUUAAAUAUUUAACGAAUUUACAAUAG